rnacentral:rRNA from 1 species
CAGUCGAGGGGCAGCAUGAUUGAAGCUUGCUUCAUCGAUGGCGACCGGCGCACGGGUGAGUAACACGUAUCCAACCUGCCGAUAACUCGGGGAUAGCCUUUCGAAAGAAAGAUUAAUACCCGAUAGUAUAGUAUUUCCGCAUGGUUUCACUAUUAAAGAAUUUCGGUUAUCGAUGGGGAUGCGUUCCAUUAGAUAGUUGGCGGGGUAACGGCCCACCAAGUCAACGAUGGAUAGGGGUUCUGAGAGGAAGGUCCCCCACAUUGGAACUGAGACACGGUCCAAACUCCUACGGGAGGCAGCAGUGAGGAAUAUUGGUCAAUGGACGAGAGUCUGAACCAGCCAAGUAGCGUGAAGGAUGACUGCCCUAUGGGUUGUAAACUUCUUUUAUACGGGAAUAAAGUGGAGUAUGCAUACUCCUUUGUAUGUACCGUAUGAAUAAGGAUCGGCUAACUCCGUGCCAGCAGCCGCGGUAAUACGGAGGAUCCGAGCGUUAUCCGGAUUUAUUGGGUUUAAAGGGAGCGUAGGCGGGUGCUUAAGUCAGUUGUGAAAGUUUGCGGCUCAACCGUAAAAUUGCAGUUGAUACUGGGUACCUUGAGUGCAGCAUAGGUAGGCGGAAUUCGUGGUGUAGCGGUGAAAUGCUUAGAUAUCACGAAGAACUCCGAUUGCGAAGGCAGCUUACUGGACUGUAACUGACGCUGAUGCUCGAAAGUGUGGGUAUCAAACAGGAUUAGAUACCCUGGUAGUCCACACAGUAAACGAUGAAUACUCGCUGUUGGCGAUACACAGUCAGCGGCCAAGCGAAAGCAUUAAGUAUUCCACCUGGGGAGUACGCCGGCAACGGUGAAACUCAAAGGAAUUGACGGGGGCCCGCACAAGCGGAGGAACAUGUGGUUUAAUUCGAUGAUACGCGAGGAACCUUACCCGGGCUUAAAUUGCAGCGGAAUGUAGUGGAAACAUUACAGCCUUCGGGCCGCUGUGAAGGUGCUGCAUGGUUGUCGUCAGCUCGUGCCGUGAGGUGUCGGCUUAAGUGCCAUAACGAGCGCAACCCUUAUCUAUAGUUACUAUCAGGUUAUGCUGAGGACUCUAUGGAGACUGCCGUCGUAAGAUGUGAGGAAGGUGGGGAUGACGUCAAAUCAGCACGGCCCUUACGUCCGGGGCUA